UACGUAGGGUGCGAGCGUUAAUCGGAAUUACUGGGCGUAAAGCGUGCGCAGGCGGUUCGCCAAGUCAGGUGUGAAAUCCCCGGGCUUAACCUGGGAAUUGCGCUUGAAACUAGCGGGCUUGAGUGUGGCAGAGGGGGGUGGAAUUCCACGUGUAGCAGUGAAAUGCGUAGAGAUGUGGAGGAACACCAAUGGCGAAGGCAGCCCCCUGGGUCAACACUGACGCUCAUGCACGAAAGCGUGGGGAGCAAACAGG
rnacentral:rRNA from 1 species